UUCCUAUUUGGGGAUGGAAACUAAUUCAGUUACAUCUGAAAAGGACACCAGUCACUCAAUAUAAACAUUUGAAUACAGAUAAUAUUUCUGCACAUGGAACGUCAUUGAGAGAAGUUAUACAAACAUGUAAAGAAAGUACAAAUUAUGGAAGUUCUGCAAAUUCUACAGGGGAAGAAGAAAAAAUUAGAAAAUAUUCCCCAGAAGAGAUUCAGAGAAAGAGACAAGAAGCUCUGAUUCGAAGAAUGUCUAAAGCACGGACAUCAUUUGUGAAUGCAGUGGAGCUCAGGGAGAUUGAACUGGGGACUACUUGCUACAAUUGGAAAUAAGGCUGAAUAACUAUCAUUCAAUACCUACAAUCAUCUCUGUGAUGAAGGUAGAUUUCUAGGUUGCUUAUCAAAGUCUUGAAA
rnacentral:lncRNA from 1 species